AACGCACGAGACCUGCGGACCUGCGGAAGGAUCAUCAUUGAAUAACAUUUUUUAACCCAAGCUUGGAAGAGGGAAAAAAAGGAGGGCCAAAUGGUUUUUCUUUUCUUUUCUUUUCUGGCUUGGCACAAACAACUUUGAUACCCAAAAAGAGUUUCAUCUUCAGUCUUCAGCCUUAUUUACUUGGGUUGAUGGUUGGAGUUGGAAUUGGGGAGAGAGACCCCGAAAUAUUAUAACAUAGGU
rnacentral:misc_RNA from 1 species